ACACAACACAGAGGAAUUCAGCAAUCAAUUGAGGGGCUCUACCUUAGUGUGAGGCACCGGAAGUGAACCCUCUACCGUCAGAAUGACAGCAGCAAGUUUCGCCAUCGCCUUCGAAGAAAGUUGGCAGAAGACAAAAAACUCCUUCUUCAGGAGAUACAGAAAUACAAUGAUCUUGUACUAGAAUCGGCGACAACCAUUGACGUAGCUGUGGUGGAGCAUUCCCUAACUGGAGAGAGUACUGUGUCUCAAAUAUGGCUGUGGGAGGUUCAUGGCAGUGCAAACAUUUCAAUCAAGAAACGAGUGCACGACCAAGUGAUGUUAACAAGGCGACUGCAUGAGGAAACAAGAGUUUUGGUUUUGGAGAUGGCACAACACUGCACAUGGUUGCAGAGCCUGGCAAUGGUUCUCAAGAACAAGUUGACUCAGGAGGGUAAGUUUUAUUAAAACCCUGUCCAUCUAAUGUGUUAAAAAAAACACACAAAAAAAACACAUCAGUCACAGAACUUGAUGGAGUAGAACGGUUAUCUCUUUGCCGAGGUCCUUUAACACGUACAUAAAAUGGGGAUUAAAGUUGUUACUGUAGCUAUGGUAACAAGUCAGUAAGGCUAUAAAGAUUCACAUUUGCUUGAAAGAUGUGCAGAUUUGUUGUACUAUGGCUGUUACUUGAAAGCAUAAAUGAACAAAAUAAUUGGAACUUUGAAAUUUGUGUCCUGAUGUGUUACACGUGGUUAGCAUAACAUCAAGAUUAAUCUUAUUAUUAUCAUCUCCUCCAGUCAACAUAGAAAACCUUGCUGGUCAGCAAGUAACAAAAUGUGUUAUUUCAGCACCACUGUAGUGAACAAGAAAACUGUUAACUUAAAACAGCUAUCAGAUAUAUAUAUAUAUGCUGCUUUGGGCCUCCCUCCAUAAAGUCACCUCAGUGAGCCAUGUUGCCUUGAGUUGUUUUAUACAGAAGCUAGCCUGGUCCCAUGUCAGCGAUACACAUAAAAAUGCCAAUCAUCCUGCUAUGUAGAUUUGAAUAGGUGAUAUCUUU